UUGUAAACAUUUAUCGUCGUUCACCCACCGCGUAGUCCUUGUUGUCGCCUCCUCCGUGUUUUGUGCUACGAGUUUUCGUCAUCGGCGUCAUCGUUCUCCUGUCGGUCCACAGAUCCUGCAUCCACUUGUUUUGGCCAUCCCGACGAGUCGGGCGUUGAUACAUUUUGGCCCGUAACUUUGACGAGCGUCAAAGAGAAUUAAAGCCCCCGAAAUUUAACCACCCCCUCGUCCCGCCCUUCAAGUGUUUUUGUGAUUCCAGUGAAAGUUGUGCUUCAAAAAUCCGCUAGCAUCUUACUUGAUGGAAAGCAAAACGUCUGCAAAAAAUAUUAUCAAAAGUAAUAAAUGAAUAACAAAAUACAAAACAAACGCCAUCAAUAAUUCAUGGAAAAAACAACACAAACAGAAAUAACCAAAAAUAAAAGCUGCGGCGCGUCGUUCCUUAAAUAUUUUAUAAAUUAAUUCAGCAAACAGCAUAAGCGAAAUUAAAAAAUACAACAAAAACAUCAGGAAUUAAUGUAGUGCCUAAUGCAAUGUGUAAUAAAACCAAGUAGACAGGGAGGUGCAGCAGAUCAUUAAAUACCCGCAAACACAGAUACAACGUAAAAAAUAUUUAAAAAUCCAAAUGUAAAUUUAUUAUUGAAUAAAUAAGCAGAGUAAAUAUCACAUAUGCUACCCGUGAAAACAAAUUUAAUUAUUCAGCAAAUUAAACAGCAAAUACUUGUUGUCGUUUUAUGAAUGUUUGGCUUUUAAAGAGCAUACAACUUAAUUGAGGGUUACAAAGUGGUCUUGGCAACGAAUAAAUUCAUAAAGUGUAAUAUUGCAAUCGGUAUAAAUAACUGGGUCUAUAAAAACGGAAAAAAAAACGAAACUAAAGCCAAAGUCGAAAAAAAUCAAAGAUCAUGUUGGCCUUUCACAACGAACACAUUGCAAGAGAGCUCUAAUUGCUACAAUGCGCACUCUGCGCCCCAGAAUUGGGUGAGGGUCUUAACAACUUGUGAGCCUCAAAAUAAUCAAUUAUUAAGCAAGC